GAUGAACGCUGGCGGCGUGCCUAAUACAUGCAAGUCGAGCGAACAGACGAGGAGCUUGCUCCUCUGACGUUAGCGGCGGACGGGUGAGUAACACGUGGAUAACCUACCUAUAAGACUGGGAUAAUUUCGGGAAACCGGAGCUAAUACCGGAUAACAUGUUGAACCGCAUGGUUCAACAGUGAAAGACGGUCUUGCUGUCACUUCUAGAUGGAUCCGCGCCGCAUUAGCUAGUUGGUAAGGUAACGGCUUACCAAGGCAACGAUGCGUAGCCGACCUGAGAGGGUGAUCGGCCACACUGGAACUGAGACACGGUCCAGACUCCUACGGGAGGCAGCAGUAGGGAAUCUUCCGCAAUGGGCGAAAGCCUGACGGAGCAACGCCGCGUGAGUGAAGAAGGUCUUCGGAUCGUAAAACUCUGUUAUUAGGGAAGAACAAAUGUGUAAGUAACUAUGCACGUCUUGACGGUACCUAAUCAGAAAGCCACGGCUAACUACGUG
rnacentral:rRNA from 1 species